ACAUAGGGUGCAAGCGUUGUCCGGAAUUAUUGGGCGUAAAGAGCUCGUAGGUCGUUUGUUACGUCGGAUGUGAAAACCUGAGGCUCAACCUCAGGCCUGCAUUCGAUACGGGCAAACUAGAGUUUGGUAGGGGAGACUGGAAUUCCUGGUGUAGCGGUGGAAUGCGCAGAUAUCAGGAGGAACACCAAUGGCGAAGGCAGGUCUCUGGGCCAUAACUGACACUGAGGAGCGAAAGUGCGGGGAGCGAACAGGAUUAGAUACCCUGGUAGUCCGCACCGUAAACGGUGGGCACUAGUUGUGGGAACCUUCCACGGUUUCCGCGACGCAGCAAACGCAUUAAGUGCCCCGCCUGGGGAGUACGAUCGCAAGAUUA
rnacentral:rRNA from 1 species